AAGAGCCACACGCACAGUCCCAGCACGAUUUGUCAGAGCGGUUCUUACUUUGUGCAGAUCUCCAAGUGUCUAGACGGAGCCGAGAGAUCAGCUACUGGGGCUUCCUAUUUCCGCAACGUGACCGUAAGUCACGGGACGCACCGACAGCUCUUCCCUUCCCAGGGAGAGGGACCCGGGACACCUCACCCUUAGCGAUUACAGUGGAAAAAGGAAAGUCCCUGCAGCAACGGCCCCUGCACCCUCGGAGACGUCUGGGGAUUCACAAAGACUGCCUUUCGCAGCUUACAAACACAACGCGGGGCGAGGCUACUGCCGGCUGAGCGGAGCUGCGGAGCGCACAGGCAGACACGUCCUCAGUGGUCGAUGUGUUAGAGCUCGACGUUCAGAGCUCCCUCGCUAUCACUGGUGGCUGCUGCUGCUGCUGCUGCCGAGUGACUGCUCAACAGCUACCAUUCAAUAAAGAAAUUUAAAAAAAUAAAAUCACUGCAAACA